UCACAUUCAAAUGGCCCUCUGGAGUUUUCGCUUUCCCAUUGGCUCCCGCUCGUAUGCAGGAGCACAGAGUUGUUCUGUUCGAGCUCAGGGACAGAUGAGUUGCUUCAGUGUGGGAUGUGGGGGCCCUUUGACAAAUGCACUCACAGCCGCUGGACGUGGACUUUAUACUGGUUACAUUUAGACAAACCGUACAAUAUUUAAGCAGAGAAGUAAUGACAACCCCAACCACAUCACAAGGAAAAUAGGUGUAUCUCGCUGAUCUUGUUUGUUUCCCGGGUGUGACGUGGGUAAUUAGCAACUUAAUUCAAAUCACCCGGCGCUCCCGGUUUUACCUGCUGGGAAGCCAAGCUUAAAGCCACCGGGUUCGCGGCUGGAAUUCACUGACUGUAAGUCGUCUUCAACACAUCUGGCCAACAUGUACAGCUUGAUGGAACACGAGCUGAAGCCAAACGGCCCGCCGCAGACUCAUCAGCCCCCUGGGAUGUCGCCGAUCACCGGCAGCCUCAGCGGGAGUAUUGGGACCAGUGGGAACUCUCUCCCGAAAACGGCGUGCGCGCCUGGAGCCGACCCCAUGGAUAAAGUCAAGAGACCCAUGAACGCUUUUAUGGUUUGGUCAAGAGGACAGAGGCGAAAGAUGGCUCAGGAGAAUCCCAAAAUGCACAACUCCGAGAUCAGUAAGAGGCUGGGCGCUGAGUGGAAACUUUUGACCGACGCUGAGAAGCGGCCGUUCAUCGAUGAAGCCAAGCGACUCCGGGCUGUCCACAUGAAAGAGUACCCUGACUACAAGUACAAGCCCCGCCGCAAAAACAAGCCGCUGCUCAAGAAGGACGCGCAGGUGGGAAAGUAUCCGCUGUCAGCCGGGAACUUACUGACGGCAGCAGUCCAGAACCAAGGCGGCAGUCCCAGGAUGGAUGGCUACGGAUGGGCUCCUACAGGAGGCUACACCGGCAUGCAGAGCGAGGCUCUCAGCUACACGCAGCAGCUGCACCGGUAUGACCUGUCGGCUCUCCAGUACCCGCCCGCGAUGACGGCGGCACAGACGUAUAUGAGCGGAGCCAACUCCUACAGUCCCAUGUCAUACAGCAACAGCCCACAGCAGCUGAGCCCUGUCAAUAUGCCCAUGGUGAAAGCGGAACCAGUGUCCCAUUCGCCCUCAACGGGAACACCAAACCACCACCGAGGACCUUUGCAAGGUGAUCUCAGGGACAUGAUCAGCAUGUACAUUCCCGGACCCGGAGGGGACUCCUCAGAUCCUGCAUCUGCACAGAGGAGCUACACCAGCGUCCAGCAACACUACCUCGGUGGAACGGUCCCACUUACGCACAUCUAGGACAGGAGUGGGAAUCCUGGGGUGGGAAUGGGAAUAAGAACCAAUGCACAGGGGCUUGAACAGGAAAAUUGAGAUAUUUCCCAGUUGAAAUCCUGUGUGCAGGUGCGCAAACCACCACUAGGACAAUCAGUGCUGCAUCUACAGGAAACAAAAGGAACACUAUGUGUUCAAACCUUUUUUUUUUUUUUUUUUUUUUUUUUCUUCAAAAUGUAGUGGAAAGAUCCCCAUAUGGAGGAGGUCCUUGUUCACAUCAAAUCACCAGAUUCCAGUUUUGGUUUUGACAAGAUGUACCAUUAUUUUCUGCAUUUAUGAUUUUUGUUUGCUGAUAUUAGUUUUUAGAUUUAAUCUUUGCAUGUAAAUAACCAACUGCAUUGUUCUGCCAUUGUGUUGUCAUUCUCCUCUGGGCUGGAGUUAAAAACUUUGCCACUACCAUGGGUCUGUUAGUUGGGACAAGUGGCCGGAUAUACCCCCCCCCCCCCCAAUAAAAAAAAAAAUCAGUUGUCUUUUUGUUCCAAACCUCUCUAUAAAGUUGAGGCUGUUUUCUGGUAGCUCUACGUUCUGUUAAAGCUUGCAGGAUAGAAUGCUGAAUGUGAUUAAAACACUUCCACUGCAGACCAAGCAAGCACUGGAAAUGAAUACCAAAAGUGUUUGAAAGUCACUUCUAUUACACUAAUAUGUGAAUGUUUACAUUAUUACCCAAGUGUAUAUAAAAAUGUAACUUUUGUACUGAAUACUUUCUAGAGGAAAUGUGUCUGCAAAUGCUGCACAUUGUAGAGUCAUGGGAAAUACUGUUGCUGUAAAUAUUGUCUAUAUUUUUAGGCUCUACUGCAGAGUGUUGAUUGCUUUUUGAUUAAAACUCUUAUGCCACA